rnacentral:tRNA from 1 species
GCUGGUAUAGCUCAUUGGUAAGAGCAUUUGCCCAGCAUGCACAAAGCCCUAGGUUCAAUUCCUAGUACUAAAA